UGGACGGAGGAGCCUGACAGACCACAGUCCAUGGGGUCGCAUAGAGUCAGACACAACUGAACACGCAUACACAGAAAAACAUUGAGGCCUCUCUCAGGACCAGGGAUGUGAUUUGUGAGGCCCAGUGCAAGGUGAAAGGGUGGGGUUCCUUGUUCAAAAAUUAUAAAAAAUUUCAAGAUAGAAUAGAGUAGGAAACCAAGCGCUGGGACCUUCUGAGCCAGCCCUGGCCUCACUGAAGGAGGAGGACAAAGCCUCAUCCAGGGGCUGAAUCAGAACUGUAUCCAAAACCACACCACUUCGUGAUCGCCUGUUCUUUAGCAUUGAAGUGUUGUGUGUGUGUGUGACUGUACUCUUAUGAUACCUUUAUUAAAAGGUAUACCCUGCCUUUAGUAAUUAGCUUUGUUGCUGUGACUGGAAGCCCCGUGUUGAAGAACCCCUUCAGAUUAUUGUUACAGUGAAGGGCCUACAUUGGGUGGCUCCGAACACAGUUGUGACCAAAUUUCUGUUGCAGGCGGGCCGGCUGAGCAGCCAUCCUAACUCUUGAUCAAUACAGGAGGAAACUGGCCAGAUGGGUGGCCAGGUCACUGAUGAUCUUCAGGCUGUAAUUUAAAGGAUAUUUGGAGUUAAGUCCUUGAAUGUGCUUUGAAUUAAUCCAGACCUCACUUUGGCAAGAAAUAAAGCAGGUCAUAUUGACUCAAUCAGCAGAUAUUCCACUCAUCCAGGGAAUAUUUCCCAGGCAAGAAUACUGGAGUGGGUUGCCAUUCCCUUCUCCAGGAGAUCUUCCCAACCCAGGAAUCGAAUCCGCAUCUCUUGCGUCUGCCUGCAUUGGAAGGCGGAGCCUUUACCCUAGCACUACCCGGGAAGCCUUCUCACCUGUGCAGUAAAGCCAACUUACUGACACCUGGUUGUAGUGUAGGAAAGUGCGGCAUUUACUGCAGGGCGCCAAGCGAGGAGUACAGAGCAGCUAGUGCUCAAAAGGCUCGGACUCCCUGAUGGAUUUCAGGGAAGAGUUUUUAAAGAUUUCCUUCCCAUUUAGGUCACCAGAGAGCAUGGAGUAGAGUCCCCUGUGCUAUAUAAGUAACCCACAAUCAAGCAAAGUAGGUAAAAGCAAGAAGGCAAGGAACUAAGCUUGCUGGCCAGGACUCCCUCAGCCUGAUCAUGUUUCUCACCUUGUGCCUUUAGAUCUGGAAGUUGUCUGUUCCAGGUUUUAGUCAUUUUGGGUCAGAAGAGAAUCCAGAACUCUGGGUAAAGGUAAGACUCUG